GAUCUGCCCACCUCGGCCUCCCAAAGUGCUGGGAUUACAGGCAUGAGCCACCGCGCCUGGCCAUUAGAUUUUUUUUUCUAAGAGUUGUUUGAACUCCUUAUAUAUUCUGGUUAUUAAUACUUUGUCAGAUUAGUAGCUUGAAAACACUUCCUCCCAUUCUAUGGGUUGUCUCUUCACUUCGUUGAUUGUUUCCAUUGGUGGGCAGAAGCUUUUUAACUUGAUAUGAUCCCAUUUGUUCAUUUUUGACAUUGUCGUUGUUGCACAUUGUUCAUUGUUGCACAGGCAACAGCCUGUGCUUGUGGGGUCUUACUCAAGAAAUCCUUACCUACUCUAAAGUCCUGGCAAGUUUCCCCAAUGUUUUCUUUUAAUAGUUUCGUAGUUUGAGGUCUUACAUUCAAGUUGUUAAUCCUCUUUGAUUUGAUGUUUUUAUAUGGUGAGAGAUGGGGUCUAGUUUCAUUCUUCUGCAUAUGGAUAUCCAGUUUUUCCAGCAUCAUAUAUUGAAGAGACUGUCUUUUCCCCAGUGUAUGUUCUUGACAGCUUUAUUAAAAAUGAGUUCACUCCCGGGAGGCAGAGCUUGCAGUGAGCCGAGAUCAUGCCACUGCACUCCAGCCUGGGUGACAGAGUGAGACUCCGUCUCAAAAAAAAAUGAGUUCACUCUAGGUGUGUGGAUUUGUUUCUGGGUUCUCUGUUCUAUUCCAUUGGUCUAUGUGUCUGUUUUUGUGCCAGUACCAUGCUGUUUUGGUUACUAUAGCUCUAUCUGUAGUAUAAAGUCAGGUAACAUGACUUCUCCAGCUUGUUCUUUUGCUCAGGAUAGUUUGGCUAUUCUGGGUCUUUUGUGAUUCUAUAUAAAUUUUAGGAUUGUUUUAUUUGUGUCUGUGUUGAAUGUAAUUGGUAUUUUGAUAGGGAUUGCAUUGAAUCUGUACACUGCUUUGGGUAGUAUGAACAUUUUAAUAAUAUUGAUUCUUCCAAUCCAUGAACAUGGACUAUCUUUCCAUUUUUUGGUGUCCCUUCAAUUUCUUUCAUCAGUGUUUUAUAGUUUUCAUUGUAGAGAACUUUUACUUCUUUGCUUCAGUUAAUUCCUAGGUAUUUUAUUUUAUUUUGUAACUAUUGUAAGUGAGAUUACUUUAUUGAUUUGUUUUUCAGAUUUUUUGCUGUUUAUAUAAAUGCUACUGAUUUUUGUAAGUUGAUCUUGUAUCCUGCAACUUCACUGAAUUUGUUUAAUCAGAUCUAAUAAUUUUUUGGGGAAGUCUUUAGGUUUUUCCAAAUAUAAGAUCAUUUCAUCUGCAAGCAAGGAUAAUUUGACAUUUUCCUUUCCAAUUUCGAAACACUUUAUAUCUUUUUCUUGUCUGGUUGCUGUAGUGAGGACUUCCACUACUAUGUUGAAUAACACUGGCAAAAGUGGGCAUCCUUGUUGUGUUCCAGAUAUAAGAGGAAAGGCUUUCAGUUCUUCCCCAUUCAGUAUGAUACUAGCUGUAGAUCUGUCAUAUAUGGCUUUUAUUAUGUUAAGGUAUAUUCCUUCUAUACCCAGUUUUUUUGAGGGUUUUUACCAUGAAGGGAUGUCAAAUUUUAUCAAAUGCUUUUUCAGCAUCAAUUGAAAUAAUCAUAUGAUGUUUGUCCUUCAUUCUUUUAUAUGAUGUACCACAUUUAUUGAUUUGCAUAUGUUGAACCAUCGUUGCAUCUCUGGAAUAAAUCCCUGGAAUGCAUCCCUGGAAUAAAUAAGUUCAUGAUGAAUGAACUUUUUAAUGUGUUGUUGAAUUCCGUUUGCUAGUAUUUUUUUGAGGGUUUUUGCAUCAAUGAUUAUCAGGGAUAUUGGCCUGUAGUUUUAUUUUUAUGAUGUGUAUUUGGGUGGUUUUGAUAUCAGGGUAUUACUGGCCUCAUAGAAUGCCAAUAGGUAGUUUUUCAACACUUAUCCCUCUCUCUCUCUCUCCCCACUCUAGUAAUCCUUAGUAUCUGUUUUCUCACCUUUGUGUCCAUGUGUACUUAAGGAGUUUAGCUCCCACUUAUGAGUGAGAACAUGCAGCACUUGGUUUUCUGUUCCUGCACUAAUUCACUUAGGAUAAUGGCCUCCACCUACAUCCAUGUUGCUGCAAAGGCCAGAAUUCAUUCCUUUUUAUGGCUGCAUAGAAUUCCAGGGUAUAUAUGUACCAAAUUUGCUUUAUCCAGUCCACUACUGAUGGGUAUCUAUGUUGAUUUGAUGUCUUUGAUAUUGUGAAUAGUGCUGUGAGGAACACAUGCAUACAUGUGACUUUUUGGUAGAAUAAAUUAUAUUCCUUUGGGAAUAUACCCAGUAAUGGGAUUGCUUGGUUGAAUGGCAGUUCUAAGUUCUUUGAAAAAACACAAAUUGCUUUCCACAGAACAUAGAUCUUACAUUUUUUCCUCCCAGUGCUUUCCUCUCAGUAUUAUCACCUCUUUUAACAAUACAACACCUUUUGGAUGCUCUAUCCAUCUUGAAAACACCUGUAUCAGCAGACAGCAGAAUAUGCUAGGAAUCAUGAAGCAAAUUAAAUGUCAAGCAGAAAUGAGUCAAUGUGCCCUGUGUUUCAUUAACACCACCCAGUGAAGUUACAAAUUCUGCCUGAAUUGAAAUGUAAGCCACAUCAAGAUCAGAGGGCCUGUGCUUGGAUCUGUUUUCCUCCUGAGUUAUGAAAGGCUGAGUUGUUACUAUUGAACUAAAAAAACAAGGCUAUCCUUGAGCCACCAGUGUCAUUUUCAAUCUUAUCUGGCCAGUACCUUCUCUGUUUCUUCUGUUGCUCCCUUGUUACUAGUGUCCAAAGUGGGUAGCCUGUUUUUGUACUGAAAGAGAGCAGGAUCUUCAUGCUCAAACACUCUACUCACUUCAUUACUAUUUCAUUACUGAAUGUCUUUUCUAAUAUUCCUAAACUAUACCCCUAAUCUUGACAUGAGCGAUUAGUACAAUUUUUAUAAAAAUUGUCUUCCACAAGAUCAUCCACGGGUGGGUGAUGCCUAAAGAUGAUGAUGCAUUUUCUUUCAUGCACUAAUUACUGCAAAAAAAAGCAGGAGCCCAUGUGAGUCACCUGAGACCAGGGUGAUGAUUUUACAGUCAGCAGCAGCAUCCAACUUCCCCUCACCUCAUUUCCAAAUCCUACUGUUUUUUUUUCCCUUCUCCUCCAAUUUGUUCUCUACUUUUCUGUGCCUGCAAGGUAACAGUAGAUUUUAAAAUGGGCUGUUAGAGUAGUGAGAUAUUAUUGUGAAACAGCAAACAUACAUUAUUUGAUAAUCAUAAGCAGAAGAGGUCUUGGGGAACAGUCAUAUGAUUACAAGCCUUAUAUUUCACAAGCUGAAGAUUUGAGGACAGAAUAUCACAAACAAUGUGAGUUCUGGAGGUUAGUUCUGAUUUAUCUAUUUUGCUUAUGUCAAGGUUAGUCUUUAUGUGCUUCCAGUUCUCCAAAGGCGUCCAUGGCUCCUGGAUACCAGAUUUCCUAUUUUAUUUCCUAAAUUUUAGGUUUGAGGUGAAUGGCAUAGUGGCUAAGAGCAAGCACCUGGAAGCCUACUGAGGAUUUGUGCCCUCUCUUUUUAUCCUAAUCGGUAUGACUAGAAACUUUUCAACUUUUUGGAUUUCCUCAAGGAAUUAUAGUUUCACUGAGUUUCUCUGUUUUUUUAAAUUGUUGUUUAAUUCCUGUUUUGAUCUUUACUAUUUCAUUUAUUCCACUGACUUUAAGUUUAAUUUGCCCUUUUCUCUAGUUUCUUAGGUCGAAGCUGAGAUCAUAAUUUAGACCUUUCUUUGGUCAAGUAUAGGUAUUUUAGGCUAUACAUCUUCCUCUAUAUACUGCUUCAGUGGCAUCCCACAAAUUUUGAAAUGUGCUUACCUUGUUUUUUAGUUUGAAAUGCUUUGUAAUUUCUCUUUGAAUUUCUUCUUUGAUCUAUGGGUUAUUUGGAUGUACCUUAUCUAAUUUCCAAAUAUAUUGGGAUUUUCCACAGAUUUUUCUGUUAUUGAUUUCUAAUUCAAUUCUGUUGUGUUUAGAGAACCUGCUCUAAGGGGAAGACAGCAAAGCAUUAAUUGAAGGAGAUAAAUUUCUUCCUUUCCUUUUCAAAACAAUGUGUUUAAGGCAGAAAAAAACCUUGACUAAGAGUCAGAAGCUCUGCUAUCUAGUCUCAGCUCCUCCACAAUCAGCUCAGUGGCCUUUCACAUUUUCCUUCAAAAUUUUUCAGUCUGAAAUGCCCUUUCAUUCAUCAGUAGACAGUCAUAUGGCUUGAACACUCAGUUCCUUCAGGUCUGCACUUUGAAAGAAAAUAAAACAAGAUAAGGGGAAAAGGAAGGCACUAUAUUACAGAGGCUGCUUACAGAAGGCUUCUCUCUUUUUGAAAUUGGAUAGUGACAAUUUAUAAUUGUAUGUAUUUAUGGGGUACAAAAUGAUAUAUGUAUACCAUGUGGAAUUACUGACUCAAACUCAUUGAAAUAUCUAUCAAUCACCUCAAAUAUUUAUCACUUACUCCUCAGGUCUAACUGAACAUUGUGUUUUUUGACCAACAUAUGCCAUUCCUCCCACUCCCCAGACUCAAGUAAGCACCAUUCUGUACUCAACUUCUAUGUAUUCAAUUUUUUAGCUUCCACACGUAAGUGAGAUCAUGCAGUAUAUCCUUUUUGUGCCUGGCUCAUUUCAUUUAGCACAAUGUACUGCAGGUUCAUACAUGUUGUCACAAAGGACGUAAUUUCCCCUUUUCAAGACUGAGUAAUAUUCCAUCAUGUGUUUAUAACACAUUUUUAAAAUCCAUUCAUCUGUUGAUGGAUACUUAAUUUGAUUCCAUAACUGGGCUAUUGUGAAUAAUGCUGCAAUAAACAUGGAAGUGCAGAUAUUUCUUUAACAUGCUGAUUUCAAAUCCUUGGCUAUAUACCCAGAAGUGGGAUUGCUGGAUCAUAUGACAAUUCUAUUUGUAGUUUUUGAGAAACUCCAUACUGUUUUCCAUAGUAGCAGUGGUAAUUUACAUUUCCACCAACAGGGUGCAAGGGUUCCUUUUUCUGCACAUUCUUGCCAACACUUGUUAAAUUUCAUCUUUUUGUUAAUAGCCAUUCUGACAUGUAUGAGAUAAUAUCUCAUUGUGGUUUUAAUUUGCAUUUCUUUAAUGAUUAGGGAUGUUGAGCAUUUUUAAUGUAUCUGUUGACCACUUGUAUAUCUUCUUUUGAGAAAUGUCUAUUCAUGUCCUUUGACCAUUCUUAAAUUGGGUUGUUUUAUUGCUAUUGGGUUACUUGAGUUCCUUAUAUAUUUGGGAUAUUAACCCUUUGCCAGAUGUAUGGUGAUAUGGUUUGACUGUGUCCCCACCCAAAUCUCAUCUUUAAUUGUAGUUCCCAUAAUCCCCACGUGUUGUGGGAGGGACUCAAUGGGAGUUAAUUAAAUCACAGGGGGCAGUUACCCCCAUGCUGUUCUCAUGAUAGUGAGUUCUCAUAAGAUCUGACAGUUUUAUAAAGGAAUUUUCCCCCUUUGCUUGGCACUUCUCCUUCCUGCUACUAUGUGAAGGACAUGUUUGCUUCCCCUUCUGUCAUGAUUGUAAGUUUCCUGAGGCAUCCCCAGCCCUACAAACCUGUGAGUCAAUUAAACCUCUUUCCUUUAUAAACUACCCAGUCUUGAGUAUUUCUUUAUAGCAGUGUGAGAAUGGACUAAUACAUAUGGCUUGCAAAUAUUUUCUACCAUUCCAUAAGUUGUCUUUUCAGUCUGAUAAUUGUUUCUUUGCUGUGCAGAAGACUUUUCAUUUGAUGUAAUCAUAUUUGUCUUUUGUUGUUGUUGUUGUUGUCUGAGCAUUUGGUAUCAAAUCUAAAAAAUUAUUGCCUAGACCAAUGUCAUACGGUUUUAGCAAAGGUUUUUCUUAUAUUUGAGCAAAUAGUUGAAGCAAAUGAGGGUUCAAGUUAUAUGAAUAUCUCUUAAUGAAUGAAAGAGAAUUUCAGGCUGAAAAAUAGAGAAGGAAAGAAAAUAACAUGAAGGCCUAUCAGAGAGGGUUAAGUAAAUUAUAGCCUAUACAUUUAAGAGAAAACUAUGCAGACAUUAAGAAGGUUGAUCUAUAUUAAUACUCAAUAGCAUAGAAAGAUUUCUUUAAUAAUUUCUUGAGUUGAAAACAAGCAAGUGUAUAAUUUUAUUCUAUUUAUAUAAAAGUGUGUGUGUGUGUGUGUGUGUGCGUGCGUGCAUGCCUGCAUGUUUGUGUGUGUGGAGGCAAUGUAUACAUAGAGAAAUAUCUAGAAAGAUGGUUAUAAAAUGUUCAUAAUGGUGAUCUAUUAGACAUACACAAAAAUAAAGAUGAUUGAAUAAUAUUUAUAGCCUGUCUGUCUCACCAAAACAUAAACUCUAUGAAAACAGGAACUUAGCUUUGUUCACUACUUCAUUCCUACUAUCUAGAUACAUAAUGAAUGAAUCAGCAAAGGAAAGAAGAAAAUACAGGGCCUAUACAUGGACCAAAUAAUAGCUCAGAUUACUGGAGUUCAAAGGCAUGCAGGGGAGCAAAGGAGAUAACAGUAGAUACCUGAGCAGAUCUGAUUGGGCAGAGCUUUGAAUCCCAGCAUAAACCUGGACUUCAUGCUUCAGGAAAUGGGUAGAUAUUGCUCACUGAGAUGAGGAGGUGGAGGAUGGAUUUUCUUUCUUUUUUUUUUAAGUGUAAGUAUGGACUUUAUUUUUUUUAAAAAAAGUAUUUUGAGAACUACAAAUUAUGAAGUAAAAUCAGAUCACUAUGUAGAAAUCUAGUGAAUACAUUUGCCUGUGAAUGAAAACUUUAUCAAAGUUAUUCCUUUAACAAAUUCAACCCAUUCACAAUAUUAAGUUAUAGUAUUCUUUUUAAGGUUACUAUACCUUUAUUUCAAAUUAUAUGACAUGUUAUUCCUUCAAAAUGAACUUUUAAAUGACAAACUUUUGGCUCAUAAGAAUGGCACCUUCAAAAGGGGCGAUUUCCACUCAGUCUCUGGUGGCAUUAUCCCAGGCUAGUUUCUUUCACCAGUUAAAAACCUUCAAAAUGUUCACUUUUAACACAAAGUCUUUCUAUAAAAAGUGUGGCUACAUUUCCCCCCUCCCCCCACCACCAAUGACUACAUACACAGAUGGGUAGCAGCAAGAAAAGCUGAAAAUAAAAAGGCAACCAUGAAAAUAAAUGGAUCAAUUGUAUACAAGAAAUAUUUGGCUCAUGGCAAUUAAAAAUGGCAACUAGGGUAUGUUAAUAGCCAAAGGCUUCAGUCAUUACAGAAUAUGUUAAGAGAAUGAAGCCAGUCCAGUAUGACCAAGUAGGAAUAUAUAAUUGUCAUUGCACUUCAUUUGUUAUAGCAAAUGCUCUAAGCCAAUAGGAAAUCUAAGCUAUAUCUAGAUUCUCAAUUAGAACAAGCUGACCUUUAACAUUGUCAACAAUUUUUACUGGGUUUAGUACAUCAGUCAUUUUCUUUACUCAAACUCCUUUAUGAGUCUUUUCCUAUCAAUCUAAGGGUAUUCUGUGCAUAAAAUACCUUAAAUGAUAAGACUUUUCUAAGGUUCAUUUGAAAAUGGUUGUAUAAAAAAAAUACCCAUUUGUUUUGCCUGGAAAGAUACAAACUAAAUGCAGAAGUUUCUCAAGGGGAAAAUCUCAUCUUUCUUCUUCCCGCCACCUCUGCCACAUUUUGAUUUCCUAAACUUUUCAAGUCUGUUCUCCAUGGCUUCUCUAAGGAUAAAACCCAGAGAGCAAACAAUUGAGCUUUAGGACAACUGGAGUUAAAACAAACAAACAAACAAAAAAAGUUAAUGGCAAGCAAUGGUCCACAUACUCAAGAUUCAUGUUAAACGAAUUCAAUUAUUACAUAUGGGUUUUUCAUUGAUGAGUAGGGCCCUGGGCAUGCCAUAUUAUCACGCAAAUCAUUGCCUUUGAGACUUUGGACACUUUUACAGUUUAAUUUGCAAACAGAAUUUUUAUAAUAAAUUAUUUUUUAACUAAAUCAUAUCUUGAAAACUGUUUAUAGAAAACCCAGGGAAUAAAGUGAACUGUUCAUUGUGGAAGGUCUUAAAUUAUUACAGUAGAAAAUACAGGCGGUAGAAGAUAACUGAAAAGACUAAUGCAACAUUAGAUUCAAAUCUAUAUCUCCUGUAGCUACUUAAAACAUGGUUUUA
rnacentral:lncRNA from 1 species